AUGCAUCUUUGCCGCCGCAUCUCAUCACCGGUGCCAAGGAAGCUCUCCUCUCUUCCUCCUCCCCACCGUCCCAAGCUCCGGUCCUCCCUCCCAUCCCCCAGCCUGGAUCUCGCCGUGCCUGCUUGUCUUCGCCUGAUCUGGCCGUCACAGCAAGCACGAGAUUCCGGCGACACGUACACAGCGCGCCCUCACUCGCGGACGCCCGCCGGAUCUGGCUGUGAGAGCUGCCGCCCGCCCGAUCCAGUUGUGCCCUUGCUGCUCGAUCUCCUGCUUGGUUCGGCCGUUGGCCUUGUAAACAUGGCACUGCUUCCCUCCUUGAUCUGA
rnacentral:rRNA from 1 species